CGGCGCGCCCCGCCCUCUCCCGGCGGGGUCUGGGCAGCGGCGGCAGCGGGCGGAGGGCUAUGCGGCGGGGGAGACGGGGCAGGCCCCACCUCCUUUGUCCGCCCUGCCCUCCCAUUGGUCCGGGCGGGGGGCCGGGGGCGGACACCGGCGCCGGGCCGGAGCAGCGCGGCUCAGGCUGCGGGAAAGCGGCGCGCGUGCAGCGGAGUGGGUGCGCGGGUCCGCGGGCGAGCUCGAGCAGCCAACCCCGGGCGCGUCGGGGCCAUGGACGGCCUGAGCCAGCGCGUGGAGCGCUUCCUGGAGCAAAGGAACCUGGUCACCGACGUGCUGGGGGCGCUGGAGGCCAAGACCGGGCUGGAGAAGCGGUAUCUGGCUGCAGGAGCCGUCACUCUGCUAAGCCUGUAUCUGCUGUUCGGAUACGGAGCGUCUCUGCUGUGCAAUCUCAUCGGAUUUGUUUACCCCGCAUAUGCCUCAAUCAAAGCUAUCGAGAGCCCAAGCAAGGACGACGACACUGUGUGGCUCACCUACUGGGUGGUGUACGCCCUGUUCGGGCUGGCCGAGUUCUUCAGCGAUCUACUCCUGUCCUGGUUCCCUUUCUACUACGUGGGCAAGUGCGCCUUCCUGUUGUUCUGCAUGGCCCCCAGGCCCUGGAACGGGGCUCUCAUGCUGUAUCAGCGCGUCGUGCGCCCGCUGUUCCUAAGGCACCACGGGGCCGUGGACAGAAUCGUCAACAACCUCAGCGGGCGAGCCCUGGACGCGGCGGCCGGAAUAACCAGGAACGGUGGGUGCUUGCAGGCGCCCGGCUGCCUCUGACCGUCUCCUGGGUCUCCACCUGUCUCCACCUUGCCUCCCUUUCUGACUUUGACUGCCCACUGUCUGGCAUCUUGGCCGCCCCCUCUCACUGUCCGCCUCUCUCUCUCACGCUUCCGGGAACCAGUCUUGCAGGCGCUGGCCCGUAGCCGGGCAGGCGUCACUCCAGCGGCUGUGGCCGGGCCCUCCACUCCCCUGGAAGCUGACAUCAAGCCAAGCCAGACCCUGCAGCCGAAGGACAAGUGAAGCAGCCCCCCGGGCCUCGCAAGGACCUCCCGGCUGGUGAGGAGGGGGCCGCGCCGGGCUCCCAGGCCUCCACAUCGUCUUCAGCGCAUCUCUCGACGGCAGCCCACGCCAGUCCCUCGGGUCCAGGCAAGGCCCUGGGGGUCUCCUUAAAUGCCACCUCGGGCAAGUCCCAGUCCCAGUCCUCGGCCACCCCCAGCUCUGAAUCCCAGGGCCAGCUGCCCUCCAGCUCUGGCCGUGGCAAGGCCCAGGGCCAGCGUCGGGCACGGGUCAGCUCCCAGCGGUCUCAGCAAUGCACCCAGCUGCCUGGUACUUCCUCCGGCCCCUCCCAGUCAGCCCUCCCAUCCUCGAGGCCCCUGCAGCCACCCAACGUCACCUCCAGCCCGGUCUCACCCGUGGUCCAGUCUCCCAGCAGCAGCAACGUCCCCACGCAGCCUCCCAGCAAGCCCCCUGGCGAGCCAGAGGACACAGCCCCCAAGACCAGCGGACAGCGCCAGAAGCAAUCCUCGAAACAGCUUGCCAGCAGCACCUCAGUGCCCGAGCUGGUCCCCUGCCACUCCGGGACCUCUCUGGAGUACACUUCGGAGUCCACCACUGAGAUCACCUGCAGCUGGCCACACCACAGGCCCCCGUGCCUGCAGCACUACUGGUGCCUGAAACACCUGGCCUGCUAGGAGGCUCCAAUAAAGCUAACCCGGACCAGA